GAACGUGCCUUUCACUACGGAAUAGUCCCGGGAAACUGGGUUUAAUACCGUAUACGCCCUUCGGGGGAAAGAAUUUCGGUGAGAGAUCGGCCCGCGUCUGAUUAGGUAGUUGGUGGGGUAAUGGCCUACCAAGCCGACGAUCAGUAGCUGGUUUGAGAGGAUGAUCAGCCACACUGGGACUGAGACACGGCCCAGACUCCUACGGGAGGCAGCAGUGAGGAAUCUUGGACAAUGGGGGCAACCCUGAUCCAGCCAUGCCGCGUGAACGAUGAAGGCCUUAGGGUUGUAAAGUUCUUUCAACGGUGAAGAUAAUGACGGUAGCCGUAGAAGAAACCCCGGCUAACUCCGUGCCAGCAGCCGCGGUAAUACGGAGGGGGUUAGCGUUGUUCGGAAUUACUGGGCGUAAAGCGCACGUAGGCGGACUAUUAAGUCAGGGGUGAAAUCCCGGGGCUCAACCCCGGAACUGCCUUUGAUACUGGUAGUCUAGAGUUCGAGAGAGGUGAGUGGAAUUCCGAGUGUAGAGGUGAAAUUCGUAGAUAUUCGGAGGAAC
rnacentral:rRNA from 1 species